rnacentral:lncRNA from 1 species
UGGAGUGAGAAACCAACUUGAGAUUUUCUAAUGGAUACGAUAAAAUCACGAAUGCAAGCCGUAAUCAUCAAGAAGGAAUAUAAUGAAGAGAUAUAGAUAGAUAUGAUAAAUUGAUAAUUAAAGCCUACAGUAGCAUGAUAAAUGGGUGCAUGAAGAGAAAUAAAUCAGAAUGCCAGUACUAUAAUAAAUAUCUUUCUAUCUACAUGCCUCAAAGGACAAAAAAUCGAACGCUUGUACCCAAUCCAUAAUCUACCAUAUUGGUCUGUCGGACUCAGGCAUUGCCUGCCACUAUAAUGCACUGAACUUGAUCCACAUGUCGUAUUGGACGACCUAUCAGGAUAAAUACACUUCUAAUCGAUGGCCAAACCGACACGGUGUCUAUAAAUUCUCCCAAGCAUAGUGGCAAAUUAUAUGAAAUGAUCAAGCGAACCUC